AGCUCCAGUAGCGUAUAUUAAAGUUGUUGCCGCUAAAAAGCUCGUAGUUGGAUUUCUGGCAAACCUUGCUGGCCCGGUUCCUCACGGAACUGGGUGCCGGCAGGCGUUUCGCCAUCCUUUCCGGGAUGUUCUGGAAGCUGCUGCCUACCCGCAAGGGCAGGGCGGCGGCACCAGGUUUUAUGCAGACCGGAUCUGUUACUUUGAAAAAAUUAGAGUGUUUCAAGCAGGCAUUUUCGCCUUGAAUACAUUAGCAUGGAAUAACGACAAAGGACCGAGAGUUCAUUUUGUUGGUUUCUGAGUUCUAGGUAAUGAUUUAAUAGGGAUAGUUGGGGGUGCUACUAUUCAGCGGCCAGGGGUGAAAUCCUGUGAUUCGCUGACGAGUAACUACUGCGAAAGCAUUCACCAAGGAUGUCUUCUUUA
rnacentral:rRNA from 1 species